CCGUCCCCAGCGUGACGCGGCCUGUGUCGGUUGUGUCCGUCUCUGCGGUCCCGUGGACUGUGCCCCUCGGGCUCCUCUGUCCGUGGGGUUCUCCAGGCCAGAACCCUGGAGUGGGUUGCCAUGCCCUCCUCCAGGCGCUCUUCCCGACCCGGGGAAUCGAACCUGGGUCUCCUGCCUCGCAGGCAGAGUCUUACUGUCUGACUCACAUUUCAAAAGAUGGAGAAUGGCCCGGAAGGAAGUGCGGGCAGAAUUUUCCCGAGCUUUUCGUGGUUAAUGGAAAUACUACUCAGUAAAGCUCAAACGACAUCUCUACGGGACCAGAAGAGUCAGUCACCUCUGUUCCUGACUCCCUCUAAGGACGGGGAUGUUCCCUUUUGACUGGGCAGUCCUUGAGUGAGUAGAAGCUCCAGGCCUCUUCUGUCAGCAGCCCUCCCAGCUCCCCGUCUGUGGAGGUGGCCGAGUCUCAGCGGAACCACAGGACCACAGAGCCAGAAGAGGUGGUCCAGAAUGCUAUAUGAAGAUGUAUUCAGAAACAUAUAGACACGUCAGAUGUCAUAGCGGGACUGUGACUAUUACUGCUAUUAGUUGGAGCCCUCCAAGAGUGCAUGUGCCUAGGUACGUCCCCCCAGAUGAGCCCUCCCCGAUUUCUUUUCUACAGGGAAAUUCUAGUCAAAUACUGAAGAACUCAAUACUCAUUCUCUGUGUUGUGAUUCUACUCUUGAAGUUGUUUCUAAGGUUCUGUUUUCUAAGAGUAAACAGAAAUUACAUUUUCUAUACUGUUUUCUGAUUUCUUAUUUUUCAAUUACGAAAUCCAAUACAAGUUGAAUUCUUAUGAACAACACAAACGACAACAAUGACAAACAACAACCCCCCAAAGAGGCAAUUGCUCAAAUAAAAUUAC